rnacentral:rRNA from 1 species
GUGUCAGCCGCCGCGGUAAUACGAAGGGGGCGAGCGUUGUUCGGAUUUACUGGGCGUAAAGGGCGCGCAGGCGGCAGAUCAAGUCAGGCGUGAAAGCCCCGGGCUUAACCUGGGAGGUGCGCCUGGGACUGGUUUGCUUGAGAUCGGGAGAGGAGCGUGGAAUUCCCAGUGUAGAGGUGAAAUUCGUAGAUAUUGGGAAGAACACCGGUGGCGAAGGCGGCGCUCUGGACCGAGACUGACGCUGAGGCGCGAAAGCGUGGGGAGCAAACAGGAUUAGAUACCCCUGUAGUCC